CUACGGGACGCUGCAGUGAGGAAUAUUGCACAAUGGGGGGAACCCUGAUGCAGCAACGCCGCGUGGAGGAUGACGCAUUUCGGUGUGUAAACUCCUUUUAUAUGUCAAGAAAAUGACGGUAGCAUAUGAAUAAGCACCGGCUAACUCCGUGCCAGCAGCACGCGGUAAUACGGAGGGUGCAAGCGUUACUCGGAAUCACUGGGCGUAAAGGACGCGUAGGCGGGUUGGAAAGUCAGGUGUGAAAUCCUACAGCUUAACUGUAGAACUGCACUUGAAACUUCUAAUCUAGAGUAUGGGAGGGGGAGAUGGAAUUAGUGGUGUAGGGGUAACAUCCGUAGAUAUCACUAGGAAUACCUAAAGCGAAGGCGAUCUCCUGGAACAUUACUGACGCUAAGGCGUGAAAGCGUGGGGAGCAAACAGGAUUAGAUACCCGAGUAGUC
rnacentral:rRNA from 1 species